AUUUGAAUGCUGACGAUGCCGCACAGAUGUGCAAGAUCAGGAACAGGCCGCCAACCUUGCGAUGGUCAGCGCGUGAUGCUAGAAAGGUGUGCUGGAGUCAGAGCAGAUCCAUACCAGCUGCAACUCAUCCAUAAAUCAAGACUUCUACAUAUACCCAUUCCUGCCAACUUCCACUCUGCCAGAUCGUAAUCUCUGCUCAUACCGCUCUGUCUCUGGCUCCUGUCUACUGUUCCACAUCUCACCACCAACCACCUUGCUCUGGAUUUUACUCCCCACCAUUACCUUGGAUUCCCCUCAGGACCUGUUUCCCUGUUCUGCUCAGGCAACUCCAAACUCACUCUACACUCCUGUUUUUUUUUUUGCGCUCAUCUGAGCUACCCCGGUUCUGCACUUCAUAUUUCUCUGUGUUCAAUAAACAUUUUGGUGCAUUCCUCCCGGC
rnacentral:lncRNA from 1 species